UUAAGUUAUUAAGGGCGCACGGUGGAUGCCUUGGCACUAGAAGCCGAUGAAGGACGUUACUAACGACGAUAUGCUUUGGGGAGCUGUAAGUAAGCUUUGAUCCAGAGAUUUCCGAAUGGGGAAACCCAGCAUGAGUUAUGUCAUGUUAUCGAUAUGUGAAUACAUAGCAUAUCAGAAGGCACACCCGGAGAACUGAAACAUCUUAGUACCCGGAGGAAGAGAAAGAAAAUUCGAUUCCCUUAGUAGCGGCGAGCGAAACGGGAAGAGCCCAAACCAACAAGCUUGCUUGUUGGGGUUGUAGGACACUCUAUACGGAGUUACAAAGGACGACAUUAGACGAAUCAUCUGGAAAGAUGAAUCAAAGAAGGUAAUAAUCCUGUAGUCGAAAAUGUUGUCUCUCUUGAGUGGAUCCUGAGUACGACGGAGCACGUGAAAUUCCGUCGGAAUCUGGGAGGACCAUCUCCUAAGGCUAAAUACUCUCUAGUGACCGAUAGUGAACCAGUACCGUGAGGGAAAGGUGAAAAGCACCCCGGAAGGGGAGUGAAACAGAACCUGAAACCGUGUGCUUACAAGUAGUCAGAGCCUGUUAAUGGGUGAUGGCGUGCCUUUUGUAGAAUGAACCGGCGAGUUACGAUUUGAUGCAAGGUUAAGCAGUAAAUGUGGAGCCGUAGCGAAAGCGAGUCUGAAUAGGGCGUUUAGUAUUUGGUCGUAGACCCGAAACCAGGUGAUCUACCCUUGGUCAGGUUGAAGUUCAGGUAACACUGAAUGGAGGACCGAACCGACUUACGUUGAAAAGUGAGCGGAUGAACUGAGGGUAGCGGAGAAAUUCCAAUCGAACCUGGAGAUAGCUGGUUCUCUCCGAAAUAGCUUUAGGGCUAGCCUCAAGUGAUGAUUAUUGGAGGUAGAGCACUGUUUGGACGAGGGGCCCCUCUCGGGUUACCGAAUUCAGACAAACUCCGAAUGCCAAUUAAUUUAACUUGGGAGUCAGAACAUGGGUGAUAAGGUCCGUGUUCGAAAGGGAAACAGCCCAGACCACCAGCUAAGGUCCCAAAAUAUAUGUUAAGUGGAAAAGGAUGUGGCGUUGCCCAGACAACUAGGAUGUUGGCUUAGAAGCAGCCAUCAUUUAAAGAGUGCGUAAUAGCUCACUAGUCGAGUGACACUGCGCCGAAAAUGUACCGGGGCUAAACAUAUUACCGAAGCUGUGGAUUGUCCUUUGGACAAUGGUAGGAGAGCGUUCUAAGGGCGUUGAAGCAUGAUCGUAAGGACAUGUGGAGCGCUUAGAAGUGAGAAUGCCGGUGUGAGUAGCGAAAGACGGGUGAGAAUCCCGUCCACCGAUUGACUAAGGUUUCCAGAGGAAGGCUCGUCCGCUCUGGGUUAGUCGGGUCCUAAGCUGAGGCCGACAGGCGUAGGCGAUGGAUAACAGGUUGAUAUUCCUGUACCACCUAUAAUCGUUUUAAUCGAUGGGGGGACGCAGUAGGAUAGGCGAAGCGUGCGAUUGGAUUGCACGUCUAAGCAGUAAGGCUGAGUAUUAGGCAAAUCCGGUACUCGUUAAGGCUGAGCUGUGAUGGGGAGAAGACAUUGUGUCUUCGAGUCGUUGAUUUCACACUGCCGAGAAAAGCCUCUAGAUAGAAAAUAGGUGCCCGUACCGCAAACCGACACAGGUAGUCAAGAUGAGAAUUCUAAGGUGAGCGAGCGAACUCUCGUUAAGGAACUCGGCAAAAUGACCCCGUAACUUCGGGAGAAGGGGUGCUCUUUAGGGUUAACGCCCAGAAGAGCCGCAGUGAAUAGGCCCAAGCGACUGUUUAUCAAAAACACAGGUCUCUGCUAAACCGUAAGGUGAUGUAUAGGGGCUGACGCCUGCCCGGUGCUGGAAGGUUAAGAGGAGUGGUUAGCUUCUGCGAAGCUACGAAUCGAAGCCCCAGUAAACGGCGGCCGUAACUAUAACGGUCCUAAGGUAGCGAAAUUCCUUGUCGGGUAAGUUCCGACCCGCACGAAAGGCGUAACGAUUUGGGCACUGUCUCAACGAGAGACUCGGUGAAAUCAUAGUACCUGUGAAGAUGCAGGUUACCCGCGACAGGACGGAAAGACCCCGUGGAGCUUUACUGUAGCCUGAUAUUGAAAUUCGGCACAGCUUGUACAGGAUAGGUAGGAGCCUUUGAAACGUGAGCGCUAGCUUACGUGGAGGCGCUGGUGGGAUACUACCCUAGCUGUGUUGGCUUUCUAACCCGCACCACUUAUCGUGGUGGGAGACAGUGUCAGGCGGGCAGUUUGACUGGGGCGGUCGCCUCCUAAAAGGUAACGGAGGCGCUCAAAGGUUCCCUCAGAAUGGUUGGAAAUCAUUCAUAGAGUGUAAAGGCAUAAGGGAGCUUGACUGCGAGACCUACAAGUCGAGCAGGGUCGAAAGACGGACUUAGUGAUCCGGUGGUUCCGCAUGGAAGGGCCAUCGCUCAACGGAUAAAAGCUACCCCGGGGAUAACAGGCUUAUCUCCCCCAAGAGUUCACAUCGACGGGGAGGUUUGGCACCUCGAUGUCGGCUCAUCGCAUCCUGGGGCUGUAGUCGGUCCCAAGGGUUGGGCUGUUCGCCCAUUAAAGCGGUACGCGAGCUGGGUUCAGAACGUCGUGAGACAGUUCGGUCCCUAUCCGUCGUGGGCGUAGGAAAUUUGAGAGGAGCUGUCCUUAGUACGAGAGGACCGGGAUGGACAUACCUCUGGUGUACCAGUUGUCGUGCCAACGGCAUAGCUGGGUAGCUAUGUGUGGACGGGAUAAGUGCUGAAAGCAUCUAAGCAUGAAGCCCCCCUCAAGAUGAGAUUUCCCAACUUCGGUUAUAAGAUCCCUCAAAGAUGAUGAGGUUAAUAGGUUCGAGGUGGAAGCAUGGUGACAUGUGGAGCUGACGAAUACUAAUCGAUCGAAGACUUAAUCAA
rnacentral:rRNA from 6 species